UUUAAGCAUAAUAAUGUGAGAGUGACUUGCAUGUUCCAGCACGAUCCCGUACCCGGAGCCAUCACUCUCCCCGUGUUCCCGAGAAGGGUAAUUAUGAGGGAGAAUUUUAAUAAAACACUGAAGUCCAUUUGAAAUCUCCUGAUGGAGACUGGAACGAGGUUCCUGGGGGCAAGAAAAGCAAUUUCCUCAUAAAGCAAGAGGUUAUUUUGUAACAGGGGAAUACAAAGACGAAGCUGAAUGGUGAUGCUGAACGACACAUAAUCCCACCCAAUUUUGGAGAGAGGCAAGAACAAAAUGUACCGAAGAAAUUGCCAGGUCUCACCUCAAAAGAAAACAGAAUUGGAAGCUAAAGCUACCAAAGAAGUUGAAAGAAAACUAAGCAGGGAUUUAGUGCAAGAAGAGGAAGAACAGUUGAUGGAAGAAAGGAAAAAGAGAAAAGAAGACAAGAAAAAGAAGGAAGCUGCUCAAAAAAAGGUAUGUGGAUCAUUUAAGUUAAAAAAAAUAGGAUUUGGCUUUUGUUUUUUUUCUCAGACUAAUUUUGCUUAUUGUAAUAUAGCUGUUAAAGAUAAGCCCUUUUUUUUUUUUUUUUAAAUCUCAUUAUAGCACUUCCAAAGCACAAUGCAAUCAUCAAGUAACUGUCUUACUGAACAUCUUUACUGAUCUUGCAGGCAUAGUUUUUUCAAAGCUAAAAAUCUUGUUUAGAUAUCCAUUUAGCUCACAGAUCUUCAGUUGAUAGGGACGUUUCUGGAUGCAAGCCCAUGCAUACACAAUGUGAAGACUGACAUAGUAUAAAAUGUUUUUUAAAAUAGUUGUUUUUAGCUGUUAGCCUUAUUUUAAUACAUCUGAUUAGCCUUCUGUGAUUAGUGUAACUCUUCAUCACACAUGCUUUAUCAAAGAUGGAUAAAAUUAAAACAUUGGCAGCAGGGAGUGGGGUUUAAGACUAGUUAUGGUAAAGUGCUUUGAAGAUAUAAGAGCAUUGAGUGAAUACUAAGAAUUAUUCCCAAGACAUUUUUAAAGAAAAAAUACAAAAUUACUUUUUGGGUAAUGUUAAAACAGUAUCCGUCAGUCAUUAGUAUUUAACAUUGUAGAUGCCCUGGUUGAGAGGAGCCCAUAAAUCUGGCUAAGAACAUAUCUCCAUUUCAGACUUCCAAUUCCUGUAAGGAGACAUCUAAAAUAAGCCUAGUUCUCAAUUUUUUCUUGAUCCUCCUUAGCAAUGUAAAAUGUUCAGUUCAUAUGCAGAAAGAUGGCUAGUCAUUUCUGCAACCCAGACCUCUUGUCAAAAUAAAAGGGUUUAUCUCAUUUACA
rnacentral:lncRNA from 1 species